rnacentral:rRNA from 1 species
UACGUAGGUGGCAAGCGUUGUCCGGAUUUACUGGGCGUAAAGAGCGCGCAGGCGAUCGAUUCAGUCGCGUGUGAAAGCCCCCGGCUCAACUGGGGAGGGUCACGCGAUACUGAUCGACUCGAAGGCAGGAGAGGGUAGUGGAAUUCCCGGUGUAGUGGUGAAAUGCGUAGAUAUCGGGAGGAACACCAGUGGCGAAGGCGACUACCUGGCCUGUUUCUUGACGCUGAGGCGCGAAAGCUAGGGGAGCAACGGGG